GAUCUCCUCCCCACGCCCACUCCUCCUUCCCCCACGCCGCGUCCUUCGCUCUCCUCCCUGUGUCGCCUCCUUGCCCCGCCGUCUCGUCGCCUCCUCACCAGCCAUGCCCGCCGGCCUCCUCUCCAGACCUGCAAUCGCCGCCGCCCUCUCCAAUCUCCUCCGCGCCUCCACCUCGCAUCGGAUUGAUCCUCCACCUUCGCCCUCCUCCCUGCGUCGCCUCCUCACCUCGCCGCCGCAUCGCCUCCUCAGCAGCCACGGCCGCCGGCCUACUCUCCAGACGCUCCCUCGCUGCCGCCCUCGCAAAUCUCCUCCGCGCGCUCUCAUCCCUCCCCUAACCAUCACCGGCCGCCUCCCCUUCCAACCUCCCCUAGCCAUCCGCCCGUCGCCCCCUGCCCACCGAAGACGGAUUUCAGUUAGCGUUAGUGAGGUGGAGGCUUUGUUCGAGCUGUUCAAGAGCAUUAAUGGUUCUGUGAUCGACGAUGGGCUUAUCAAUAAGGUGCUUCCUCACUUCCAAUCUUUCAUGGAAUGGCAGCCAUAUUGUAGAUUAGUAUUCUUGAGAAAUGUCAUAGGAAAUGGAUCAUUUCACAAAUCAUAACAAUUUAUUCUUGGUAAGUAUUAAGGCUGGCCCAAUCAUAUCAUUUUAUUCUUGAUUUCAUGUUAACAAGCUGGCCCAAUUAACCAUUGAUCAAUAUUUUUUUUGGAAGAUAAACUUCAUUUAAUAAUGCCAUGAAUUGGAGAAGGAUGAGAAAACAAAUUACUAGACAAUAUUCAGUGGUAUUAUUUGGGAUGAAAUGUUUUAGGCUAAUAUAUUUUUAUUUACAUUCCCCUUUUCUACCCUCUAAGUAAAUAACUGAAAAUAGACGUCUUAGCUUCUUUUCGAUUCUCAGAAAUUUCGCUAAUUUGAGCAAGUUCAGCAGAUCGCCAUGCAUAACCCCGCAGAUCAGAGAUCUCAUGUGUCCAUAUCCUGUUGUUUCCGGUCGACAUCCUUGGUUCAUCAUUACCUCAAUUGAAGUUUUAGGUGCCAGUUUUGGUGUGAAGAACUAAAUUGAAACCGAACAAUGAUUUUCCACAGUUGCGGUUAACUUCUAAACAAGUUAGUUCUGCAAUGGAUAACAAUGGUGGCGGUUCAGCACCAAUAUCGUCCAAAAGAUCAUGUCAUUGUUUCAUCCAUCCAGCCAUGGUAAUAUCCAUUGCUCAAUUGAUAUAUUUUUGCUUCCUAAUUUUACGUACACUCUUCCUUUAGGUCUUUUUGUGGAUAUAACUAAUGUGAUUAAUGCCAAGUUGACAAAUAAGCAUGCCGCGGUUAUCCAAAGUGAAAUCAAUGUUCCAAAAGACCGUGAGAACUAUCAACAGAUCAACAAGAACUCUACAUCUAAGAUUCAGAGAGCCUCAACUAUUGGAUUUGGCAAUGAAAAUAACGCUUCUGUCAUUAGGCAUGUGCGGCUACCAUGUACAGACAAAGCCGAAUUGUCGUACGGUACACCCAACAUGCAUGAAGAUGUUACUAAUCUCAGUACGGCUGAACUAAAAAGGAAGCGUGCUAGAGAGAGGUACGCAUCAUUGACAAAAGAGCUAAAGGAAGAUGGAAACAAGAAGAGACGUGAUUCCAGAAAGCGGAGGAAGGAUGAAUCAAUAGGUUUUUAUAAAUUAACACAUCUAUUGUUAUCAAAAUUUGGACUUUUUGAACACAACACCUUAUUAUUAUUGAAUUAAUUCAACUCUUUCAGAUCAUUGAUCUCAAGAUUCCACGACCAAAAUGGCUACUCCUGUGUCCUCAACUGUUUCAGGUUGAUGUGUAAUAUGGUAACAUGUAGAAAUUUGUUAGGUGUUUCGUACCAAAUACGUUCUAAUCUGUUUGGAUAUGAGCAGCCCCGCUUGGAGAUAUUACAAAUGUACGUGCUGACAGAUUGCUUCUGAUAGUUUAACAAAUUUUCACUCAAUUUCUUUUCACUUAAUAAAAUUACCCGUUGCAAUGCACGGGCACCUUACUAGUUUUCUACGAAAACAGAACUGAAAAA